GACGAACGCUGGCGGCGUGCUUAACACAUGCAAGUCGAACGGAAAGGCCCUGCUUUUGUGGGGUGCUCGAGUGGCGAACGGGUGAGUAACACGUGAGUAACCUGCCCUUGACUUUGGGAUAACUUCAGGAAACUGGGGCUAAUACCGGAUAGGAGCUCCUGCUACAUGGUGGGGGUUGGAAAGUUUCGGCGGUUGGGGAUGGACUCGCGGCUUAUCAGCUUGUUGGUGGGGUAGUGGCUUACCAAGGCUUUGACGGGUAGCCGGCCUGAGAGGGUGACCGGCCACAUUGGGACUGAGAUACGGCCCAGACUCGUACGGGAGGCAGCAGUGGUGAGUAUUGCACAAUGGGCGGAAGCCUGAUGCAGCAACGCCGCGUGCGGGAUGACGGCCUUCGGGUUGUAAACCGCUUUCGCCUGUGACGAAGCGUGAGUGACGGUAAUGGGUAAAGAAGCACCGGCUAACUACGUG
rnacentral:rRNA from 1 species